rnacentral:rRNA from 1 species
GGCGGUUAUUUAUUGUUUAGAGGAGCUUGUUUGUGUUGGAAUUUGCACCUUAUUUUUAAUUAGUAAAAGUUUAUUCAUCUCCGUUAUAAGAGAGUAUCUAAGCUAAUAUAAAAAUUUAUAUUUCAGGUCAAGAUGUAGCUUUUAUUAAGUAAAAUUAGCUACAAUUAUGGAAUAAAUGGAGUUAAAAUUUUUAGGGAAAUGAAAUUGGAUUUGGUUGUAAUAAAAAUUAUAAAAUUUUUGUGAAACAUGUUGGGUAAUGUAACACAUC